rnacentral:rRNA from 1 species
AUGAUUUCAUCACCAGUAAUCCUUCAUUUGUCCAACAACGAGCUAACAUGCAAUAUUCCGCCUGGCUUCGGCAACCAUUCAAUUGCGUCCCUCAGUUUGCAAUUUAUAACCAACUCAAUGGGUGGUGUCCCUCUCUCUCUACAAAGUGCAAAGUACAACCACGGCUUCCUUCGAAACCGUGGGCUUUGUGCCAAGUGGGGAUCAAGGAUAAAUCUCCCAAAAUGCCAUGGAGGCACCCACCUCUACAAGCAUAUGAUAAUCUUAUUAGUGCUCGGUGUCACUAUCAUCGUCACUUGUAUGAAUACCGUCAUACGACUGCUCUUUCGGCAACGGAAGAACACACAAGUGGUGAAAGAAGUCGUGGCUGAUUAG